rnacentral:rRNA from 1 species
UACGUAGGGUGCGAGCGUUGUCCGGAAUUAUUGGGCGUAAAGGGCUCGUAGGCGGUUUGUCGCGUCGGGAGUGAAAUCCACUGGCUUAACUGGUGGCUUGCUUUCGAUACGGGCAGACUGGAGGUAUGCAGGGGAGAACGGAAUUCCUGGUGUAGCGGUGAAAUGCGCAGAUAUCAGGAGGAACACCGGUGGCGAAGGCGGGUCUCUGGGCAGUGAACUGACGCUGAGGAGCGAAAGCGUGGGGAGCGAACAGGA